rnacentral:rRNA from 1 species
AGUAACGCGUGGGUAACCUACCCUGUACACACAGAUAACAUACCGAAAGGUAUGCUAAUACGGGAUAAUAUAUUUGAGAGGCAUCUCUUGAAUAUCAAAGGUGAGCCAGUACAGGAUGGACCCGCGUCUGAUUAGCUAGUUGGUAAGGUAACGGCUUACCAAGGCGACGAUCAGUAGCCGACCUGAGAGGGUGAUCAGCCACACUGGGACUGAGACACGGCCCAG